rnacentral:tRNA from 1 species
GCAGGAGUAGCGAAGUGGCCAAACGUGCGAGACUCAAAAUCUCGUCUCUUAGUGAGUUCAGAGGUUCGAAUCCUCUCUCCUGCA